GACGAACGCUGGCGGCGUGCUUAACACAUGCAAGUCGAACGGAAAGGCCCUGCUUUUGUGGGGUGCUCGAGUGGCGAACGGGUGAGUAACACGUGAGUAACCUGCCCCUGACUUUGGGAUAACUUCAGGAAACUGGGGCUAAUACCGGAUAGGAGCUCCUGCUGCAUGGUGGGGGUUGGAAAGUUUCGGCGGUUGGGGAUGGACUCGCGGCUUAUCAGCUUGUUGGUGGGGUAGUGGCUUACCAAGGCUUUGACGGGUAGCCGGCCUGAGAGGGUGACCGGCCCCAUGGGGACUGGGAAAGGGCCCAGACCCCUACGGGAGGCAGAGGUGGGAAUAUUGCACAAUGGGCGGAAGCCUGAUGCAGCAACGCCGCGUGCGGGAUGACGGCCUUCGGGUUGUAAACCGCUUUCGCCUGUGACGAAGCGUGAGUGACGGUAAUGGGUAAAGAAGCACCGGCUAACUACGUG
rnacentral:rRNA from 1 species